ACUCCCUACGGGGGGCAGCAGUGGGGAAUAUUGCACAAUGGGGGAAACCCUGAUGCAGCGACGCCGCGUGAGUGGAGAAGUAUUUCGGUAUGUAAAGCUCUAUCAGCAGGGAAGAAAUAGCGACCUUUGGGUCGCCAGACGGUACCUGAUUAAGAAGCCCCGGCUAACUACGUGCCAGCAGCCGCGGUAAUACGUAGGGGGCAAGCGUUAUCCGGAUUUACUGGGUGUAAAGGGAGCGUAGACGGCAAUACAAGUCGGAAGUGAAAUACCCGGGCUCAACCUGGGAACUGCUUUGGAAACUGUAU
rnacentral:rRNA from 1 species